rnacentral:misc_RNA from 1 species
UAGUUCAUAUAUCCAAACAAGAAGGACACUCUAAAGCAUUAGAGGGAUAGUAUAUUUAGAAGGUUGUUGUUUCUGAUGGCUGGCCAGAAAGUGACCAUUGAUUUUGUAGAUGUAAGGUACUUAGCUGUAUGGGUAACUUGUCAUGUGCCUCCAGCCAUCUGAGUCUGAUGUGUCACCUAUACAACUAAGUGCCUUAUAGGUACAAAAUCAGUGGUCACUCUCUGACCAGCCAUAACAAAGAACCUUCUAUAUAUAUGUGGAUAUAUGCAGAUGCACAUGUGUACACACACUUGAUUAUGUAUGUGUAUAUUCAUAAAUGAAUGCAUGUAUAUAUGAUGUUUAUAUUUGUAUGUGAAUGUGUAUAUAUUUUUGUUUUUAUUUUUAUUUAUUUAUGUUGUCCAUAAAUAAAUGGUGGAAUCAUUGUAGACUUACUUAGAUUGGUGAGGUGAAUGCAUUAAUGUGACUGAUAUUCACCACGAACUUCUGCAGUCGAUACUUGUAGGCAGGGAGGGGAUUCCUGGAAGGCUGUAGCUCUGGGAAGAACCGUUUUGGUGGUUAGUGAGAGAGAAAAAAGCAUUCAAAGUGAUAACGAAGUUUGUUGACAACUGUUUCCAUCCAGCUUUUGGUAUGAUAGAAAAUAGUAUGAUAUAUGAGUAGUUGUCAAAAUCAGAGAAGUUGGUUGUCCUUAUAGGUAGGACAUAUUGUCCUAUUUCCAUAAAUUGGGAGUAAAUAGCUGUAAAGUGAGAAGAUGUAUGAAGAAUUUGGUAAAAAUAGCCAUUGUCAAUGUUGCUUGUAUUCCAUGUACUUGAAGGUGAAAUUGAAUACUUUUAAGAAAUUAAUCAUAUAAGUUAAUAGUAAAAUCUUCAGUAAAACACUUAAAAUAUGGUUUGUAUUUGCUUAAACAGUCGAUACAGUAUUUAAGCAAUGGCUACUCACAUGGAUAAGCAUAUGCUAUACAAAAACAAAAAAAUGGCAAAAUUUGCACCCCAAGCAAAUUUCUACACAUUCUCACAACUAAAGCCUAGGUGGAACGUUGGUUGUCAGAUCUGUUUUUCGAUGUGGGUGACAUCCUAGUAAGUGAUCAUUGUUGGACUUCUUCAGAUGCUGUCGGCAGAGUUCGUUGUUGGUGCAGCUGCAUUGAUUCUGUAUUUGAACUACUCUUGUAGGAAGUUGUGAGCUUUGGCUGUAUGAAGGGUCUUAGAGAUUAUACCUAGGAGAAGGUUUGCGUUAGUCUGUCUGUCUAUCUGUCUUGCUCUAUAUACAUAAUAUCUCUGUCUAUCUGGCUGGCUGUUUCUCUCUCUCUUGCUCUCUCUCUCUCUCUGUUGUCUUGACUGCAUCAAAGGGAAGCACAUGUUUACUGCCAAGGGAAGUCAGUGUGACACUGCUAGGUCUACAACAAGAUUGUUAGUUGACAAAAUGUACUGGAGGCAGGGCUGAUGUGUGAUAAGAUAGUGUGAAAGGGAUUGCCUUGAUUAGGCAGUGAUCAGAUGAUCUUCUUAAUGAGAGAAGAGUCUGUGUUGGCAGGGUAAAAAAAAAGGUUUGGGUUUAGAGGUGAGAAAAGAGUUAAUGUAUAUGACGAGUUGGUGGCUUGGCCUCAAUUACGGGUACAUGAGGAGACUAAGUUGUACAGACAGUUCAGUUAAAGGUGGAAAAUGAUUUGUCUUCCACACCAGUAUUGAUGGUGUGGAAAGAGUGGAGAGAAUUGGAGAAGAAAAGAAGUUGUGUGCAUUUAAAUCACUAACAAGGAUGACUUCAGGCAGAAUUGUGUGCACACUGGUAUUUUCGAUGCAGGUUGGUCAAAUAACUGCUAUUGGCUGUGAAAGAUUGGAGAGCGGUAUUGACUAUAAAUACACUUAGAAGUCUUGAGUAGAGAGAGACUUCUGAGCAACUGGAAGUCUUUAUCAUUGAUAUCCAUGCAAGAGAGACGUGAGCAAUGGAGAGACUGGAUCCUUCUUAAGAGCAGACAUAGCACUUAGGACAGCAGCAGCUGAAAUACAGGGUGGACGAGAAAGAUGUAUUAGCAGAGAGCUGAGAUAACAGACUUAUGUAUGUAGUGGGAAGGGGUGCCAAUCACUACCUGGAAAGAAAAAUAUAUGUAUCUGUGUAUGCAACAAUACAUGUACGUUUUAGCCUGUGUGUGGUUAUGUGAUUGUGUCUGUGCAUGUAUGUAUCUAUAAUCAGAUAUAUUUUUACAUAGAGCUUGCACUAAAGUGCAUUCCUGCUAUUAGCCAGGGACAGGAGAUCAUAAUGAUUUAGACACAUUUCAACAAUAUUGCGUUCUUCAAUAAUAUAGAGCAAUAUUCAUGCUGCCAGGGAUAUACAGGUUCUUUUGUUUCACAUUGUAUGCAUAUACAAACAUAUAUAUAUACACAUGUUAUAUAAUAUACAAUUCAAUGUAUAAAACAUGACAGUAAUUUCAAGUAUAUAUAUGUAUAUAUAUAUAUAAAUGUAUGUAUGUAUGUAUGUAUGUAUGUACAUACAUAUAUAAUUUAGAAAAAUAUCAUGCUCCACACUUUCUUUAAAUUUUAUAAAAAAACAUAAUUGAUUGUUCUUUGUGUUAAUUAAUCUCAAACACAAAUUUAUUGGGCUGGAAAUUACAGGAAUUUGUGACGUUCAUUUGUUUUUUUACAAGUGUUGAUAAGACUAAUAUAAAUUAAAGUUAAUUGAUUUCAGGCUUUAAUCAAAAUCAGCUUAUAUACUCUUAGUUUGCUAUACAUCUGUAUUAUGUCUAAUAGAGAAUGCCUAUAAAUGCUGAUUUACUGCAAAUGUUCUUGUUUUUCAUUUCAAAUUUAAUGUUGUUUCAAUAUUUAUCAAAUCUGUUCUUGAACUUGUUGGUUAUCUUUGAAUGAACAACUUUCCUUGAUACUUUGUAUUUGAGAUAGAUUUUCUAUCAUAUUAGUUUGUUAUUUUAUUGUGUUACUUCAUAUGUAAGUCUAUAGAGUGAUUUUGAUUGGACGUGCAUUGAGAAGGUCAACUAUACUGCUGGCCAUCCUUUUUGAAUCACGAAAACCAACCUACAGAAUCUUACUGUGUUGGAGGACACAGAAGACAAAUUUGACAAUUUAAUUCUGAGAUAGAUGCAAUAACCUUGUUAUUGAUAAGGACCAAUGGCAAAAGUAGAUUGGCUGGUGUUCAGCACACUACAUCUCUUACAUUGUGUUUUUUUUUUAUUAUUUUGGAAAUGGAAGAAUAAGAAGACACUAUUUGUUACAUCCAGAGUCAGAAAACUCCUAAUUGUUGCUACAUGCUCUUGUCUGUUGUCUUAUCACUUAACAGUUAUUUUAAUUGAUUCAAUAGAAGAGGUUUUUGUCUAAGGUAAUCUUUGUCUUGAAGUAACAUCACAGCUAAUACUAUAAACAGCCAUAUCAUAUUAUUACUUACAAUGAUGGUAUAUGUUUAAAAGUUUAGUUUUGGAUGUAUAUAUUAGCCUGAUAUGAAAUGAAACAGCUAGACAGGUUCCAUCUGAUAUCAAAGCUUGGACUUUUUUAAAGUUUUUGUUUUCAACUCGAUGCAAGUAAUGAAACUCGUCACUUAGUGUUUUCAAAAACAGCAAUGUUUUUCUCACAAACAAACUGGUAAUUAAUAAAUAGUUCGUUAAGUAAAUGAAACAGUGUGGCAGCAAUUUUUCUUUCAAAAUGUCUCAAUUAAUUUAUAACUUAUAGAAAUUCUUUGAUGUAUAUUUAAAAAAAAAAAGCUUUAUAUUAUUACGUUUAUGAAUAUGCAUAAAACACAUAAAUAUAUAUAUAUACACAAACAUUAUCCCUGUUUGUGUGUGUGUGUGUGCAUUACAUAAAUUAUUAUUAUUAUUAUUGUUUGUCCUGUCAUGUCUGAAAUUGAAACUGUUGUGUAGCUUCAAUGCACUUAUCGCAUUCAUUGUAUAAUUUUCUUUAUGUCAGCUUGCCUCUCCACAACUGUAGCUUCACCUUUACAAUGAUUAAUGCCAAAAUAAUCGAAAUCUUGCUCGAUCAUUUUUUUUUCAGCUGAUUUGAGUCCCAAUGUUUGUAUAUUGCAAAUAUUAGUGAGCUGUACAAUAUAGCUCUAAUUUUCAAAUCUGUAACUGAAAUAACAUUUUCUGCAAACUGAGUUGAAGCUGUGGUGGCCCUCACUGUAACCAUAAAGUGUAAAGCAAACCAAGCAGUUGAGAACUACCGAUACAAACUAUGGCCAUUGGCAAAUGUUCAUCUUAUAUUUAAUACAGUCAAGAGAGAUAUAACAGUUACAGUUAUCUGAAGUGCUCAUGAUCUUGAAUAUUUGCACGCUUGAUACAUAGUCCUUCUGAAUAAGAUUAAAGAUUUCUCAAUGACAGCUGAAGUGGAAAUGUAUUAAGCCAAUAGCUCUCACUGCAGUUUGUAAUCUAAAGCCUUUGCUAUAUGGUAAGAAGUUAGGCCACUUGAAACUUGAAUUUGACAUUAAUAGAAAGAUUUUAAUUGUCUCAUACAUGACUACAUAACUUUCAAAAAGGUAAUACAUGCCUCUGUCUUUCAUAUACAUGUAACUAUCUCAUUAUUCAGAAUUCUUGACCUGAUGAUGGCGUUUCUAUGUAACAUAAAGCUGUUCAUGGUAUACAGGUCUUAUCUUGUACUGUCAUCGAUAGCUUUCUCCAGGCUUAUAUGUAUUUCAAACUCAGUAAGUUAUAAUAAAACAAAUUAUGCGGUUCUUAAGGUUCCUUCUUUGAGUGAGCACUGACAUUGUAACAGCAUCAUAGAUAAGCUUCAUGGUUAGCACCCUCAAGGCUAUCUUUUUUUUAUCUGCAGUACCUUGAAAGGCAAAACUACCCAUCUCAUUCCUAUUAUUGUGAAAAAUAUGUACAUAUAUAUAAGGAAAAUGUUUGGAUAUGUAUAGAUUUAUGCAUAGAAUUUUUACAUAUGUUUUUUAACAGCAAAAUUAUUAGAGAACGAGUCAUAAAAUAUAAGUAAAAACUUGGUGUCUAACAUGUUUUCUUACAUAUGUUUCUAAAUUUUAUAUGUAAGAAAAUUGUGUGUUUGUAUGUGUGCACGUGUAUGUUUGUGCGUGUGCAUGUAUGCAUGUAUAUAUCUGUAUACACACAUAAACAUAUGGAUAACAGAAUAGAGACCCCAAGACAAAAGACUUUUUGGUGUUUAGUUACAUCUAAAAUUUAAUCACUCAAAAUUCUACAUUCAUCCCACCAAGGUCAACAAAAUAAGUUCUUGGGUUGGUGUAAUUGAGUAUACCCUUAAAAGCCGCACCCCAAAGCAUUAUUUCAGUCACCAAUGAUUGAAGUUAGCAAAAGAAAUAAAGAAUAGAUGUUUAUUAUGGAUGCUUGCAUAAAUGUAUACAUGUGAGCGUAUGUGUACAAGGGGACCCUGACAGUUAUUGUAUAUGUGUAGUCAAUUUAUCCUCUUUUAAAUUUGUUAAAUAUAUCAUUAUUUUUUUUUCUUUAAAAUAGAGAUACAAGAUUAAAUAUCGCAACUGUUGUUUUACAAGCUCCACAAUUAAUGUGAUGUACAACUAAUAGUAAGUCAAAAAAAAUAAACGAAAAAGAAUAGAAGAAAGCUGUCAAGUGAUAAGGUAAUCCAAGGAACCAUAAGGAGUUUUUAAAAUAUUAAACAAAACAAUACAACACUCACAAAAAAAAAACAUAAUGGACUACUGAAAAAAAAUGAAACAAAAGUCUUCUACAAUACUAAGAGUGAAAUCAAUAAAUGAUUCUAGUUGUAUUGAUCACUGAAAGAGAAAUGUGAUUCUGUUAUUUUACAAGCAAUUCUUCACUGAAAUGCAAUGAUUAACCUGAUUUAUUCAUAUUACACUCAGAUUUGAGAACAUAAUGAAGAGAAAGUUCUUAAAUAAGUAGAUUCUGUAACAUAAAUGUCAGUUAACAAAAACAAGCAAAUACUUUGACUAGACACUCUCUUGCCUUUAUUGUUAUUAUUAUUGUUGUUGUUGUUGUUGUUUUGAUGUGUGCUGUUUUUGUUAUCUGUUAUCAGCUUCACUACCAGAAUAACGCUAAUAAUGAUAAAAAUAAUAAUAAUAAUAAUAAUAAUGAUAAUAAUACAUUCUAAAACUUGGGUGAAAACAAAAUGGAGUUUGAAGAACUUUCGAAGUCUAAAGGAAGAUGUGGAGAUUGAGAGAGAUUGAAGAAGGUGGAAUAUAGACACAAGAACAGUCCCAGUUAAUUCAGGAGUGUUAUUAUUUGUGGAACAGAGUACAAAAAUGUCAUCUGAAAAUCAAACUGUCGGGAAAAAUCUUCCAUAGGUGAGGUUUAGAAUAUAUCUCUCCAAGGAAAUUCCCACAUUCUUAAAAUCAAAUUAAUUUUAGAAUUACAGUAAGGCUCCAGCAAAAUAAAUUAUGUUUACCAUUAAUAAGACAACAAUAAAUAGGACAAUUGUAAUGACUGAAAAUAAUGGUAAAGAAUCAGACUAAAUAUUUGAUGAUAUCUAGUUCAGAGUCUCUAGGUUCAAAUUGCAUCCAAGUUUGACUACUUUCCAUUCUUCCAAAAGUGAGAAAAUAUAUAUCAGUAAGAUAGUGUGAUUGAUUCCAUUUAUUGACCCACCACCACCACCACUACCACCACCACUACCGCCAUCACUACUUUGUUUCAAAUUUUUAAAAUCAAAAAUACCACCAUCGUUAUUUUUGUUAUUGUUGUUGUUAUUAUUAUCAUAACUAUUAUAAAUGGUUUGGUUGGUUGGUUGAUAGUAUAAUUAAAAUACCUUGAAGUAUUUCCUUUUGGUCCUUUAUGUUUUGAGUUUAAACCCUACCAAAGUCAAGUUUGCCUUUCAUCCUUCCUGAGUUGAAAAUAUUUAGUGCACCAGUUAAACACUUGCCCAAAAUCUCUGGCCUUGUACUUUUAUUGGAAGUGAUUAUUUAUUAAUUUUACCUAAAAAAAAAGAAAUUAAGUUUCAAGCAUUUCAUUUUGCAUUUUGUCUUACAUGAGCAAAAUCUAUUUGUCAAUGAAUUCAAUCUUGGCUAUAAUUGCCUGUAAGAAACUGAGGAACUCUGUUUCGUUGAUAUGUGAGCUUCCCCACAAUCAUUAUUUGAGUAGAGUUUUAAACUAUAAUUCAACUUCUGGUUGCUAGUUGCAAUUGCAGAGAUAUUGAUGCAGGUUUUCUCCACCCUCAUCCCCACAAUGUGAUCAGUAAACAGCUAGCUAUUGGCUGCUAAAUAACAUGAUACUUUAUACCAGAUCUAUAGUAUUUUAUUUGUGCUGUUCCUCACCAUCUCUCUCUUUCUCUUCUUUCUCUUCAUAUUUCAACCCCUCUAUCUAUCUUUCUUUUCCUUUUUUUCCUUUCAUUCUAACAUUCCCAUCUCCAAACACAGAUCAAAGGGCUUAGUACUGCUAGUGCAAGCUACUACAGCAGUAACGGCACAACAUAAAUAUAAGAUCUACAGCUGUCACAAAAGGAAAAUUAUCAUAAAAUGAACAUGAAACUACCAGCAGAACACUGGGGAAAUUUUCAGUAUCACCAAAGACAAAAAUAAAACGAAUUAAGGAAUCUGUCAACCACUGUUGUGAUGUGUAAAGAUAUAUAGGUAUAUAUAUUUGCAAUAUAAAUAUAGAAUGUGAUAAACUGUUAAUAACCAUUCACUUCAAAAUACCAUUAACUUCUCGUCCUUGUGAUGUUAUUAACUGGAAAAGAUAUACAAAUAUUCUGUAUUCUUCCUCGAACUGAAUAAUUUGCAGUUGUUAUUAGUUUCAUUUGUCACUAUAACAACUUCCUCUGUUCAUAGCAUUUGUUUGACUAGUAUUACAGGUGACUGGGCAGGCAAAAACACUUAAGUCAGCUUAUAGCUAAGGUUUAUUUAUUUAUCUUUUUUUGUUAAUAUUUAACAACUUGAAUUCAAAAAUCAAAGGAAUUUAGUUGAAAUUAUGUUUGCACUUUUCUGUACAAUAUUGUUAUAUCUAUACAGUUACUGUUUGAGUGUUGAUUUUACAUACCACAUUAAGGAGGGAAAUAUGCCAAUUUCAUAUAUUGGAGACAUUGCAGUUGAUACACAUAUGAUAGAAAAGAUUAAAUCUGAGGAACGUCAUUUAAUCAGAUUCAAUCAGCUACAAAAAGACAAAGAAAAUGUCUCGCAAUUGUUCAAUAUCUCAAAAGAUGGGAAAUUCUAUGUAAUCCAAACUCUAGAUGCAGAAACACUUUGUAAAUAUAAAAAAAUGUGUUUCAGAAUGGUAGAUGUUGCCAUGCAGAAGAGAGAAAUAUUUGUUCGAAUUUUAGAGAUCAAAGUAGUUGUGGAAGACAUCAAUGAUCAUCAACCUGUGUUUCCAGUAAAACAAAUAACUCUUGAGUUUUCUGAAGGGGAUAAAAAAGGAACUACUUUAUCAAUUCCAAAUGCCAUUGAUGAAGACAUCAGUGAAGAAAAUUCCAGGAUAACAUAUAAGUUAUUGUCUAAUAAUAAGGUGCCUUUCAUAAUGGUUGUUUCUGAAAGAGUAGAUGGUUCAUAUUCAGUUGGGAUAACUUUAGAAACUGAAUUAGAUAGAGAAGUGGAAGAUCAUUAUUCUUUUCAAGUAAUUGCUAAGGAUGGAGGAAAGCCAUCUAAACAUGGUAUCUUAAAAGUUUAUAUAUCUGUCUUAGAUAUAAAUGAUAAUUUACCACUUUUUUCUCAAGAUGUUUAUAAUAUAUCUAUUAAUUGUAAAUAUCAAAUAAAUAAACCAGUCAUUGAUUUAGAUGCAGAGGAUCUUGAUGCUGGUGAAAAUGGUAAGGUUAUAUAUCACUUCAGCUCAAAAACUUCAGAAAUGACAAAAUUACAUUUUCAGUUAAAUGAAAAAACUGGGGAAAUAUUUCUUUGUGAAAAUUUCCCUUUCGAGAAGCGUCAAACAUAUGAAUUGUACGUUGAAGCUUCAGAUGGAGGGAACCCUCCUCUGUCUUCUAUGACUAUGAUACUUGUCAAUGUUGUCAACCAGCGAAAUAAUCCUCCCGUCAUUGAUAUGAAUUUCGUUUCCAAAUCAUCUAACAAUAUGGCGACCAUAUUAGAAAAUACUAAAAUUGGUAGUUUUAUUGCAUAUGUAAAGAUUUCUGAUACUGAUACUGGACAAAAUGGAAAAGUUACCUGCACUCUCCAGCAUGAUAAAUUUCAGCUUCAAAAUCUAGGUGAGAAAAAAUACAAAGUGGUUUUGAAAAGUCUCGCUGAUAAGGAAAAAGAAAGUCAUAUUACUUUUAAAGUGAUUUGUGAAGACAAUGGGUUACCACGUUUGAGAACAGAGAGAGAGUUCUCUGUUUUAGUAAUUGAUAUUAAUGAUGUAAUACCACAGUUUAACAAAGAAACCUACAAAUUCUUGAUAUAUGAGAAUGAAGAAUCUAAUUUUCCAGUAGGAUUUGUCAAUGCAACUGACCCAGAUAUGGGACUGGGUGGACAGUUAACAUUUUCCUUGUUUUCGAAAAAUAAUCUUGCUCUUCCCUUUCAAAUAACAAACUAUGGAUUUAUAUCAACCACAGAAUCACUUGACCGUGAACAAAAAGAUAUAUAUAUCUUUCAGGUUUUAGUUAAAGACAGUGGGACUCCAAGACUAAAUAAUACUGUUGAUGUUAUUGUUGAAGUUAUGGAUAAGAAUGAUAAUGCUCCAUACUUUACUUUCCCUAGUGUUAACCCUUUCAGUCUAGAUAUCUAUUUCCAGUCCCACAAUAACAAUGAUAUCACUAAGUUAAAAGCAUAUGACAAAGACAGUAAAGAGAAUGCAUUUCUUAAAUAUGAAAUAUUAGAAGGGAAUGAGAAAGAAUUAUUCACAAUGAACUGUUAUACAGGGAUAUUAUCUUUUUCCCGAAAUGUUUACCGAAAUGAGGCAGGAGUGUAUAAUCUUCUAUUUGUUGUCAAAGACAAUGGGAUUCCAAUCCUCUCUACAACCACCUCUCUAUCUUUAACUCUAGUUGCUAGCAAUAAUACAUUCCCCUUGUUGGCAAUAGCAACCAAUGAGUUAGAUUUCAAAAUUCAAAUGAAUUUAUUUCUUAUGAUCAUAGCAGCAGCAGUGUCAGGUUCUGUAAUAAUGGUUAUUUCAAUAACAAUAUGUGUUGUAAAGAAAAGCAACAAUAUAAUGACUUCUAGUAAACAGAGAAUCAAUCCUUCAGACAAAAUCUUCAGUGUUGAUAGAGAAACGCAAAAUACUUCUGAACAAAUAUCUUAUAAUCCUCCAUUGCUCAGAGAAGAGACUCAACAAAACAGCUUACUCCAACUUCAAGAGGAGAAAGAGCAAUAUUUGUCCAAUUAUAAAGUGACACUGAAUGGAAAAAAUUUAAAUAGCAGAAUUCCAUACCAAGCAACUAGCAAGGAAAUACACCAGAUAUAUGUUCAAAAUGCUCACAGACCUGCCAGUCAUAGAAAAGAUGAAGAAGACUUUCGGUGUUCUUUUUACAAUUACCGACAAAUGACAGCAAAAUCUCAGAAUGACUGUGAAUUCACUGAGAAAAUGGGAUCACAUUAUGAAGAACUAUCAGAGUGACUUAACUCCGUAGAGCUGGCUGAAUACUCGCCCCUACCCAUCAUCACUACCACACACAGGUCUUCAUCCUCACCAAAAUGACUUCCAGGAAGCCUCAACAAGUCAGUUCCAAGUUUGUGCUAGUUCUGGCACC